GCUGGACCCAGACUAGAAAGGAGUCUAGUCUGUGAAAGAAACUUAUUGGAACAUCUCUGAAGGCAUGGAACUUUGAAGUGAAUCCACCUUGGCAAACUGUGGGGAGACCCUGAUUGGCAGAGCUCAGGAGACGGACAAGCUGUCUCAGCCUAUGGGGCGUCGAGUAGCGGGAAGGCUCGAAGCGCCUUGCUGAGAAAAGACAUUUCUGGCUAAAAAUAGCCAGAGCCUCGCGAACCAGCUGAGCGGCAGCGAAC